AUUGAACGCUGGCGGCAGGCCUAACACAUGCAAGUCGAACGAGUGGCGGACGGGUGAGUAAUGCUUGGGAAUCUGCCUGAUGGAGGGGGAUAACUACUGGAAACUGUAGCUAAUACCGCAUACUAUAGGAUGAGCCCAGGUGGGAUUAGGUAGUUGGUGGGGUACAGGCUCAACAAGCCGCCGAUCUCUAGCUGGUCUGAGAGGAUGACCAGCCACACUGGGCCUGAGACACGGCCCAGACUCCUACGGGAGGCAGCAGUGGGGAAUAUUGCGCAAUGGGGGCAACCUGACGCAGCCAUGCCGCGUGAAUGAAGAAGGCCUUAGGGUUGUAAAGUUCUUUCGGUAGGGAGGCGUUAACUACAGAAGAAGCACCGGCUAACUCCGUGCCAGCAGCCGCGGUAAUUC
rnacentral:rRNA from 1 species